rnacentral:rRNA from 1 species
UAGGGGUCCUGCGGAAGGACAUUCAUGUUUUAUAUUAUUCUAAGUUGUUUUUAUUAACUUCUUCAGUGUACUAUUAUUUUUGCGGUCAACUUCCUUCUCCUUUGUGAGAUUGUAUUCUUUUUUUGGUAAUCUUUGUCUUCAUGUACACUUUGUGCAUGUUGUCAGAUUUUAUCUACAUGUAACAUAACAAGUUUUUGAGAACAGAAAAGAAAACUAAGUUUUUCUUAUUAUUGACAUACAACCCGUGGCGGGGGAUGUCUCGGCUUCCACAUCGAUGAAGAACGUAGCAAAAUGCGAUAUGUAAUGCGAUUUGCAGAACUCGUGAGUCAUCGAAUUUUUGAACGCAAGUGGCGCUCGCGGGAAAUCCUGCGAGCACGUCUGUUUGAGUGUCCGUACAAAAACUAAAACACUUGUUUUUUUGACCUUUGUUUCCCUUUGACGACUUGAGAGUAUAUUUAUAUGUUCUCUUGUUGCCAGUGUUGAGUGCUUCCGUUCACAAUUUCCCUUCGAGGUUAUAUAGGAUGGUCACUUUAAGUUGAGAGGUUGCUGAUCGAUCCACUUUAUUGUGUCGAGCGGUAACCAUUGUUUUGACAUUAGUCUUUUUUGCAUAGACCAAUAUCUUUUGUUUUUUGUUUUGAGACUCUUUCUUUUGGGUUUUGACUCUGGUGGAUACAUUAAUUUGUGUUUGUCUAGGAUUUGACGUGUGUCCUUUCAGUCGAGGCGUAAUGGUUGUGAAAUGAUGAAUCUAAUUCUUUUUACUAGCAACUAUUCUGACUCUUGGAGGUUUGAUCUGCUUAUCUGAAAAGGUUGAAGUCGUGUGAGGGGAGAGACUUGACGAAAAUGGUAGGGGUCGCGCUUAACGAG